rnacentral:rRNA from 1 species
AUCCAGACUCCUACGGGAGGCAGCAGUGGGGAAUAUUGGGCAAUGGGCGCAAGCCUGACCCAGCAACGCCGCGUGAAGGAAGAAGGCUUUCGGGUUGUAAACUUCUUUUCUCAGGGACGAAGAAAGUGACGGUACCUGAGGAAUAAGCCACGGCUAACUACGUGCCAGCAGCCGCGGUAAUACGUAGGUGGCAAGCGUUAUCCGGAUUUACUGGGUGUAAAGGGAGCGCAGGCGGCACGGCAAGCCUGAUGUGAAAGCCCGCGGCCCAACCGCGGGACUGCAUUGGGAACUACCGGGCUGGAGUGCCGGAGAGGUAGGCGGAAUUCCUAGUGUAGCGGUGAAAUGCGUAGAUAUUAGGAGGAACACCGGCGGCGAAGGCGGCCUGCUGGACCGCGACUGACGUUGAGGCUCGAAAGCGUGGGGAGCGAACAGGAUUAGAUACCCUAGUACA